rnacentral:lncRNA from 1 species
AAAGCGUUUCACUUUGGUUCAUUUAGUUUUAAUUUGAGCAUAAAGAAACUUAUGAUUUUAAUUUGGUUUCAAUGUCGUCCUUUCCUCAAUUCUCGGUAAGAAUUUGAAAAAAGAAUUAGCACGUGAAGCUCGUAUGACUCUUUCUAAAAGGUAAUUUUACCACAUUGGUACUUGUAGUUUAGCCAAAAUUUUACUUUAAUACCCUAAAAAUGGUAAUAUGAGUUUUCAUAUUCUUACUCUUUCUGUUUAAAUUGUUAACAAAUAUUGAUGAAGAACUAUAUUAAAACAAAAUUGAAAUUUUAAAGUUCUAAUUAUUAAAAUUAAAACUAUAGAGACCAAAGUAAAAUUAUGAUCAAAUUAUAGAGUUUAAUAGUGAGAUUUACCCAACAGAAUAAGAGGCGUAUUGAUAAUGGGCUUGCGAGUAUUUUCCUUUAGAAAAUUUUAAAAUAAAUUAAAAAAUUUAUAGUUAUUUGAGUCUCGUUUUCGGGUUUUUCGGGUUUUCAAAAAGAUUUAGAAACAAAAAAUGUUCAUAAACACGUUUGGUUAAGUUUGCUCUCUUUUCUUGACAGUUUCUAAACUUGUUUUUCAUAUUUUUUUUCAAAAAGUCUAUUUCGAAGAGAAUGUUUUCUCAUUAUUCAAAAUAAAUGAUUCAGAUACACUUGAAUGUGUGAAUUUCAUAUAACCAAAUGAAUCCGAAUAAUUCAUUUUGAAUUCUAAAAAUUUUUUUGGGUUAAAAUUAUAGACUGUAACAAUGCUGUUUGAGAAUUCCGAAAUAUCUAUUUUCGGUGUUCCACGAAAGUGGAUUGUUGUUAAAAGGCCUAACCAUAUGGGGUAAUCCUUGGAAAUAGACCCUACAAGGGCUCAUAACACUGUUUGGAUUCCGAAUUUGAAAAAAAAGAAAAUAUAAAUAAAAAAUUAAACGAUUUAAUCGGACCAUUAAAUUAUCUACUUUUUUCAUUUUUCAUUCUCUUUUUCCUCAUUAAAUCUUUGUUCCAAAUACAAACUAAGUAAUUUUUAUAUAGGCGGCCACUCAACUCAUAUAGCAGUAAGCUGCGGACUUCCGACUUGAUUUUUUUUUUUAAAUACCUUUUUUUUGGUUGCAGGUGGGUGGCCAAAUGCACCAGAUGGUCCAUAUGCAUGGAGAUAUUGCUUUAUUAGGGUAAGAGAUACCUCAAAUGACUAUUGUACCCCGCAGAGAAUAGCCAUGUGCGCCUGGAAGAAAAUACCAUGGCCAAGGAACCAUUCAACUCACUCAGUAAGCUCCCUGUUUGCCUCAUUAAUUGAAUUGGUUCUCAUUAAUAAUAGGCACCCAAAAUUUUACGCGAUAGUUAGUGAGGUAUACGGUAUAGAUUUAGAGUUAGUGUCAUGCAAGACAAACGAAAAAUAAUUUUUGUCUAUAUAUUUCCAAUUCUGGGUAUUUUCUAAGUAAAAAUCUUAGGUAGUAUUGUUGAUUGAUCAUCGAAAAUAACUUAUGUGCAGAAUUCUUCUGCAAAAAUAAUAUGGCUUUUUGUAAUUUUUCUGUGUCAAACUAAAAAUACUACUACAUUAGAUUUUGUGAAAUAAUAUUUUCAAUAAGACACAGCUUCUCUACAAUCCAAUUUUUUGGAAUGUACAAUAUAGUUCAAGUAUUUUGGAUCUCAUUUGGGGCCUAUUUGAAAAUUCAAACCAUUCAUUUUGUAAACUCCAUCAUGAAAAUUAAUACUGUAAAAAAUCAUAUUGAUGGAAUCUAAAUCAAUGUCUAUUUAGUAUUAUUUUAUAACUUAAUAAAUUAAUAUGCACAUGUGAUUAUAUUCAUUUAUAUUGAUAUAAAUUGAUAUUGAUCGAUUAUUUAUUUGUAUCCGAUCAACGUGAUCUUUUUACCGUAUUAAACUUCUCAAUGAGAUCUACAGUAUAAAUUGAUAUUGAUCGACUAUUUUCUUUUACAUUUCGGAUAAUCAAAAUCCGCAUAAAUUGAGUUUUCUAAAUAUAUAAUUUUUUGUAUUGUUCCAGUUAAUACUGGUAGAGACGGAGACCUGUUUUUAUGGUAAAGUCUGGAAUUCUAAAAAUAUAGGAACCAUAAAGCUGAGCUUGACCGUUGACUUUUUGACGUUUUCAGCAACUACAAGUAUGGUCAAGCAGGGUAGUCGGGGCGGAUCCCAUAAACAAUCCCGAUUUGGUAGCGGCUGACCCGACUAUGUCAUUUAAGGAGGCGUAUGGUUCUGGAUGACCCCGCGGGGGAGCAAGCCAUCAUCCCAUAAUGUCAUCAUCAGACCGGUCGACCGCCUAACAGGUCUGCUGGGUGGUCCCGGGCUACGGUUGUUUGUUAUCACCAACAUCAUCACGGCGGGCUCGAGUGGUUAAUGGACCCGAAUGGCCAAGGUGGCGAAUGGAUCGGGCUAUUAUAAAAAGGCUAUUGUUGACAUAUUUGGGUUGUGGGCUAUGGGACACAACCUUGAUUGUUGCAAUCAAAGGCACUUUGCCGUAAAUGUUUCCUUUGAUGGUCCAAUAUUACACUACUAAU